CCUACGGGAGGCAGCAGUAGGGAAUAUUGCUCAAUGGGGGAAACCCUGAAGCAGCAACGCCGCGUGGAGGAUGAAGGUUUUCGGAUUGUAAACUCCUUUUGUUAGAGAAGAUAAUGACGGUAUCUAACGAAUAAGCACCGGCUAACUCCGUGCCAGCAGCCGCGGUAAUACGGAGGGUGCAAGCGUUACUCGGAAUCACUGGGCGGAAAGAGCGCGUAGGCGGGAUAGCAAGUCAGAUGUGAAAUCCUAUGGCUUAACCAUAGAACUGCAUUUGACACUGUUAUUCUAGAGUAUGGGAGAGGUAGGUGGAAUUCUUGGUGUAGGGGUAAAAUCCGUAGAGAUCAAGAGGAAUACUCAUUGCGAAGGCGACCUGCUAGAACAUAACUGACGCUGAUGCGCGAAAGCGUGGGGAGCAAACAGGAUUACAUACCCCGGUAGUC
rnacentral:rRNA from 1 species